UUUUUGGUUAUUUUGAAUUACAAUUACUUAAUAAACAGCCAGUGCAGAAAGGACACUCUGGCCCUCCUUUGUGCCCUGUGGGCAGGAAAUAGAUCUCCCAUGUGAAAGCACCCACCAGGAGGGUAGAAGGCAUCCUUAUCACCAGAGAUAGGGCAUUUAGGGCCAAGAGAUGUAUAUAAACAAACCUUGAUACUUCUUCACUAAUUUACUAGCCCAAGCACAAAUGUCUUUGUCUUGUCAAUUCUUCACAAAUUUAUUGUUUUCUUGUCUGAAAGGUACAAAAGAUGCCUGCUUUGGUCAUUUUUUUGAGUCUUGUAUUUGUAUGGGCUCCUAUACAUACAAAGUUAAAUUUGUUUUCUUCCUGUUAAUCUGUCUCGUGUCAAUUGAAUUGUUAGACCAGCCAAAGAAUCUAGAAGGAAAGAGGGGAAAGCUCUUCUCCCCCUACAUAUCCAACACUCAACAAAAUUGAGCCUUUAUUAUGAUGGAGGUUACAGUCUUGUUGAAACAGUUCCUGGUGCAUGUGAUGGUGCCUCAUUCACCGCGUCUCUCCUGCUGCCUCAGGGCCCUUAGCAUGUACUACGUCCUCAAGGAACAUCUGCUCUUGGGGUGCUUUAGGAUUUGAGUCAGGAAUCCCAGAGACAGUUAGGAUUUGUGCAGGUAAGAUGAAAGGAUACAAUCUUGGUGGAGCAGAAAGCAAGCAAAGAUGCAAAGACAGGAAUGAGAGCAGCCCAAGUGCCGAGGUAACUGUGGUUCAAGUAGCUGCUGCUCCUGCAGAGGCAGGGAGAGGUUAGAGAAAGCCCGGGAAGACAUGGCAAGGCCCUGGAAGGGCAUAGGCACCUGGAUGGGUGGUUAACGAAAGCAACUGAGCGAGAAGCAAUGUCAAAAAGAGGAUAAUUAUAAAGAGUAAAGCCACAGGGAAAAUCUACUACUCAUUAGCGAGAUAAUGAGGACUUUAACUCCAGAGGCCGAAAGGAGAUGGGAAAGGGGAACACUUUCAGUACUGCAGGUUAUUUACAGACACUAUUUCAUUUAAACUUCAGUGAGACAGGCCUUAUUUUCAUUUCACAGGGGAGGAAACUGAGGCUCGGAGAGAUUAUUAGUAUGCCACAGAUACAGAAUUCAAAGCCAAGUGAUCCAGGCUCCAAGGCAUGCUCUUGUUGAUAGACUUUGAUAAUUGAUUGACUGUGAAAUAUCUGGGGAGAAAUUGAAGAUGAUUUCAACUGGUUGCUUAUGUUUGAGAAGAUGCUGACAUUAUUAGAGAGGAGGGAACCAGUUUGCAAAAGAUAAUGAAUUUAGUUCUUAUUAUAUUGAACGUGGGUGGGGAACACAAGUGCCGAAGUGCAUGAAAUAAUUAGAGAUGUGGGUUUACAGUUUAGAAGACAAAUCGAGGCUGAAGAUGAAUGUUGAGAAGUCAAUUGAAACAAUGGUAGCACAUUAUGUCCUGUCACAAAAAAGUAAAGCCUUAGAACAGAGUCAGAAAAAUUCUAAGGUGAGGAUUAGAAAAAUUGGAGCCAGGGACAGGGACAAAAAUGGAAGGAAAAAGGUAACAAAUGAGAUAAGGAAUGUGCAAGUCAUAUAUAUAUUUUUUUGAAAGUAGAAUCUAUCAAGGGCCACGGAGUUCAGAGUUUCAGGUGUAUGUUUGCAUAGGUAACGUGUAGCUAGAACGGAGGGAGAUGAUGAGUGGAAGAGGCAGGUGACAUAGGAGAAAAAGACUAGUAUGGGAUUGGGAAGAUCUGGGUUAUGGCACCAGCUCCGUUAUUCUGUGACAUUAGUAAACUCACUGAACACUUCAAGGACUCAAUUUAUACAUUUGUAAAAUGAGAGCUUGAGUCAAGAUGAUUCCCAAAGGUCACUCUUAGCAUCGAAAUUCUAACUAAAAAGGAGUGUUUCAGAAUAUAUAGACAAGGCUUGGUGCACCAUUUUAUAGGUUCAUUUGUUCAUUCAACAUCUCCUACAUCUGUGUAAUUCCCUAUGUCUAUGUCUAUGUCUGUGUAGUGAGAGUGGGGAGAAAACAUGGUGUCUAGGAUAAAGUCAAAGAGUUUAAGAGAUGCUCACAUACAACUACAAGGUAGAGAGUCUCUAUGUCACAGAGUUAAGAGGCUAUGGAAGCUCAGAGAGAAAGGGAGAUGUUUUUAACCUAAGAGGGGCAGGGCAUGGGAGGACUUGGGGGGAUCUCCCAAGACCUCUUCCAUUUUAGAGCCAGGACAGAUUAAGCUGAGAAGCAGUUCAUCAAUUAGUGAGAACAGUGGUGUCCCCUGGUCCUUCAGUUGGAGGUCACCAUUCAAAGCAAGGCGAACUUUGGCCUGGGAACCCGCCGAGGAUGGCAAGAAUUGAGCAAGUCCUGGGCCAAAUCCUCGCUCUUCUAACUACGCAUGAUGUCGGUUGGACAAAGCUCUUAACCUCCCAGCCACAGUUCCUGCGUCUGUAAAAUGAGGAUACUGUUUAGACCUACUUUAUAAGGUUGCUGUAGGGAAUUUGCAAGAGAACACAUGUGAGUUAUUAAUGAUCUGGCCGUUAUAGUAAGUUCUCGAAUAUGUUAGCUAUUGUUCUUUCCCUGAAGAGCAGAUAUCGUGCCCCUGAGAGGUCUUGUUCUGGUGGGCCUCAACUAGAUACAAGGCGAGGUUGGACUUCUGGCUUCAGCUGGCUGCUGGGCUUUGGGGGCGGCUGUGUGCUGGGCACCCCUUUAACACGCGGCCAGCCAUUCACAGCUGCGCCUCCCCCUCCCUUCCUGCUGGCACUUGCCCUACAGAUGAGCCAGUGGUGAAAGCUGAAGGUCGCCUCAGUUCUUUUUCCGCGCGUGUGUCCCGGCCCGAGCAUGUGUGCGGCUCUCUAAAUCCCCUAGUCCACGUGAUGACUUUCCAGUGCCCGGAUCCCCCAAAGCACCUCCCUCUGGCUUCGGACAACCUCUUGUACGCUCAGCUCAGCCGUAAUUCCUUGCCCUAAGGCGGCUGAGGCUUUUCUGGUCACCUUACAAUGUUUUCAAGCCACGCCUCCCGUCUUCUCUGGCCUGGACAGAGCUCCGGGUCGGGAAAACAGAUGCGCACCUUGCAUUCGUCCCGCAGGAGCCCCCUCCGGAGGUUAGUUCACACAAAGACUGUGACUAGCAAGUAACUUCUCCGUUUCUUCCAGAACUAAGAUCGUGUCCCACAGUGGUCCAUGGGCUCCGCGGAUGCCAGGAGCGCAGCGAGGAUGAUAACACCGUGGAGGUGGCCUACAGUAAGGUGUUGCCUUUUUCUCUAUUCUGCAUUCACUUGGUUCCCUAAACUUGUUUUUCUGGAGUUCUGACAAAGUUGGUUCUCACUGCCUGGUUUUUUUUCUAAGUUUCUAUGGAGGGAAGGAAGUUUAGAACUGCUUACUUGCCAUCUUGCGGUCAUCACUCCUCUAGUUAUGUAACACUGGACAAGUCACAACUUCCCUGUAUCUUUUUUCCCUAAACAAAAUUCAGAAAAUGCCUGAGGGCUGUUGUAAGGAUCAAAUAUGGGAACGUGGAGGACUUUCACAAAACGCAACGCAUAUGAAACCUUAUUUUAGAAAACCAGAGGACUGGUUUUGUGAACCAC
rnacentral:lncRNA from 1 species